rnacentral:misc_RNA from 1 species
CCGAGUUUACAACUCCCAAACCCCUGUGAACAUACCUAUACUGUUGCCUCGGCGGAUCAGCCCGCGCCCCGUAAAACGGGACGGCCCGCCGCAGGAUCCACAAACUCUGAUUUUAUUGUAGCUUCUGAGUUAAAAAACAAAUAAAUCA